GGUUUGGGCGUUUUCCGGCGGCCUCCUGAGAAAUGUUUGCAAUUGUAAGGUGUCUCUCUCACCCAGGUUUACCCAGAUUUACAAACUGACGACAAACAACCAUAGCAGAAGUAUGUCCAGAUUAUUUCACAUAUAUCACAAAAUCCUGCAAAGGGUCUGUCCCUAUUUGGACCACCUCCCAUCACGCCACACAGGAUGUGAAUGUCUAUGUGCUUCUCCAUACCUGCAUUGAUCUCUGGGUCCAUUGCCAAUUAUAAACCUCCAAGGGCAAUAGCCAUGAGGAAGGAGGAGGUGCUUCACUUUCCUGAUAAGCUACCGUAAGGCCCCUUUCUGCAUGAGGCUCAGACCUGGUUCAAACUCUCCUGGCAGAAACAAUUCAACCAUGAGCUGUGCUCGAGGAGGGCAUACUCCUAGUUUUCACCUUCUGGCCAACAAUCCAAGCUGGGGAAGGAAAACAAGCUUUCGGAAGGCUCUGGGUCUCUUGCUCCCUCCAUUGUGUUUCACUGAAAUG
rnacentral:antisense_RNA from 1 species